UUCAGGUCCUUUGCGCCUUGAUUAUUUCACAAAGAAUUUAAAUACAAGUAAAGGAAGCUACUAUGGACCCUGUCAAAGUGAAGGAGAUUGUAGAUUUAAAGAUGAACAACAUCUAUGCUCCAAAAUUCAACAAAAAUCAAUGCUAUGUUCUUAAAAGAAAGGCUGAGGGUUACCAGUUAAUAAGUAAGGCAACAGGACUGCAUUAAUAAUGUUAAUGAAUUUUCAAAUAUCAUUUCAAAUGUUCAUUGCAAUGUAAUCCCUAGAAGGGGAAUUAUAUUAUCUGUGCCACAGAAAUCUCGAUGAACAGCAGCAUCACCUUGCAAAAGUCAUUCGUACUCCAGAAGAAGCAAACAAUUUAUUUGUGGAGUUUCACGCCAGUGCGAUCGGGGCACACUGUGGAGUGGAAAAGACAAUGCAUGCAAUUAUUAAACGCUAUUACUGGCCAGGAAUGAAAGCAGACAUCACAAAAUGGAUUUCCCAAUGUGAUGACUGUCAAAAAAAGAGGGCCACAAUAAAGGAGAAAACUCAGUAUAAACCGAUAGAGGUGAAUCAUGUUAUUAAAUAUUACACAUUUAACAUGGAAUUCUUAGCUGAUAUUAUACUUUGGUUUGCAUUUAAGGUUUCAAAGCCAUUUGAACUUGUUGGGAUGGACCUUGUUGGGAAGUUAAAGUGCUCCAACAAUGGAAACAUAUACAUUUGUGUCAUGGUGGACUACUUCACUAAAUGGCUCGAGGUCUAUCCCCUGAAGAGUAAAAAGGCUGAGGAAGUGACAGAGUGCAUAAUGGAUUUUUUCUAUAAGUAUGGUUCACCUAAACGAAUCCUUACUGACUGCGGUAAAGAAUUCGUCAAUAAA